rnacentral:tRNA from 1 species
GCAGGAGUAGCAGAAUGGUAAUGCUUCCGGCUGCAGACCGGGCGAUUGUGGGUUCAACUCCCAUCUCCUGCU